AUGGCGGGGAGUCGUCGAGGGGUUUCACGCGGAUACGCUUACGCGGUACGCCGAGCGGGGGCCUACCUACUCGUACUGGUAGGCCCUUGGCCGGAGGAGAGAAGAGGAAUCACACAGCGACGACCGACGAUCAUGGCCGGGAUCGUUUCCUCCUCCACCGCUUUUCUUCUGCUCCUCGUCCUCAUGCCCAAGAACGGCAGCGAGGCCUUGGCGGCAGAGAUGUGCUACUGCUAUCAGAGGAGCGCCGUCGACGGUGAAACCAACAAGCUGACAAAGACGAUCGCGCUGCUCUCCGUCGGCCCCAUCGAGCUGCAGAUAAAAAAGACGAUCUCGCCGGUGAGCGGCUGCUCGAGCGCAGUGCCGACGCCGUCGAAACCACCGCCAAUCCCGGCGGACACGCGCGCCCCUACACCUCGAGCCCCGGCUGCUUCAGACAAAAGGGGCUUGAGCUGGCGGGCCCAGGCAUGGUGCUGCUUGGGCCUCACUGUGGCAAUCGUGAUCGUCGUCUUCGCGGCGGUGAGGCCUGAAACGUUCAUAGUACCGUCGCGCAUGGACCCCUUGCUCACCGCCGGCGGCGAGGGAGAUUCGCCAGUUGACGGCAACGAACAUACCACGAUGGUCCGCGUGGCCGCGCAGGUCCCGACUGGGUCGCGUGAACCAAGGCGAGAACGUCGGUCGCGCCGGAUGCCCCGGCCCCAGCUGCAAGAAACGUUGAUCAUCGAUAGCAAUGGGAAUUCACGGCUGGACACCAACACCGGCGAUGGCAAUGAAGAUUCAUCGGCGGACGGCAACGACGUCGGCGACGGUAAGCGCUUCUACUGCGCCAAGUGCAUGCAUGUGGUGCCAUGCGCAUGUAUACGGCGCAGCUUCACCUCGUGCGCCCAUGACUUCUGCUCGAGCUGUGUUUCUCGUCGACUGCAAGCACGGCGCGGCGACGGCGGCAAGCACUUCUACUGCACCAAAUGCAUGCAUGUCGUGCCAUGUGCAUGUAUACGGCCCAGCUUCACCUCGUGCGCCCACGACUUCUGCUCCAGCUGUGUCGCUCGUCCAACUUCCCAAGCGCAAGGACUGCGCCGCCGAGCCGGAAAGAUGCCACAGCAUCAGCCCCCCGUGGACAUGUUGCUGUUAACCGAGGGCAAUGGAGAUUCGCCGGUCGACGGCCACGGCGAGCUCUUCGACUGCGCCAUCUGCAUGGAGACGGUGCCCGGCGCCCUCAAGUUCAUCAUCAACUCGUGCGGCCACGCCUUCUGCUCCAGCUGCCUCGCCCAAUACGUGGCCGCGAAGCUGGACGACAAUGUCUGUCCCAUCGAAUGCCCGCAGCCAGGCUGCGAGGGCGGCACCGUCGAGCCGGAGAGCUGCCACGGCAUCAUCCCCACGGACCUCCUCGACAAGUGGGGUUUGCUGCUAUGCGAGCUCGCGGUCGGCUCCAAGAGGAUAUACUGCCCGUACCUAGAGUGCUCGGCGCUCUUGCUCGCCGACGGCGAGGCUGGGGCGGCGGCCAUCGCGGAGGCGGAGUGCCCGCACUGCCACCGGCUUUUCUGCGCCCGGUGCGCCGUACCGUGGCACGACGGCUUCGGGUGCGACGAGUUCCAGAAGAUCGGGCAGGACGAGCGCGGCCGGGAGGACCUCUCGCUCCGGCGUCUCGUCGGCAGGGAGGGCUGGCAGCGGUGCCCCAAGUGCCAGAUGUUUGUGGAGAAAUCGGAAGGGUGCAAUUACAUCAAAUGCAGGUGUGGAUACAGCUUCUGCUACCGAUGCGCAUCCGAGUUGUCCGCGCAAAACCAUUACUGCAACAAGUGCAAGCGCUAA
rnacentral:rRNA from 1 species